rnacentral:rRNA from 1 species
CUACGGGAGGCAGCAGUGGGGAAUCUUGCGCAAUGGGGGAAACCCUGACGCAGCAACGCCGCGUGCGGGACGAAGGCUUUCGGGUUGUAAACCGCUUUCAGGAGGGAAGAAACUGACGGUACCUCCAGAAGAAGCCCCGGCCAACUACGUGCCAGCAGCCGCGGUAACACGUAGGGGGCGAGCGUUGUCCGGAUUUAUUGGGCGUAAAGAGCUCGUAGGCGGCUCGGUAAGUCGGGUGUGAAACCUCCAGGCUCAACCUGGAGACGCCACUCGAUACUGCUGUGGCUAGAGUCCGGUAGGGGAGCGUGGAAUUCCUGGUGUAGCGGUGAAAUGCGCAGAUAUCAGGAGGAACACCAGCGGCGAAGGCGGCGCUCUGGGCCGGAACUGACGCUGAGGAGCGAAAGCGUGGGGAGCGAACAGGAUUAGAUACCCUUGUAGUCC